ensembl:lncRNA
GAGGGCGGCGCCGCUGCAGCUCCAUCGCUGCCUCCCCUUCGGUUCCUUCUUCCUUCUCCUGCCGGCUCCCGAGGAGGAGGAGGAGGAGGAGGAGGAGGAGAGGGCGGAGCCAGGCAGGGAGCGAGUCCGCCUGCAGCCGCUUCCUCCGCCCGAAAGACAGAGAGCCCAGGCAGCCUCCCCUGAAAACGGUUCCGGUUCAAGGGGAGGGGACGCCGGGUGUGUAUAUGUGUGUUUUCCUCGUGCAGUUGUUAGGUGUGUUUCCCUCUCGUGCAAGAGAAGUGCCUGCGCCUUUGUGUCUCCCCUCUUUGCGUGUCUUUCCCGCUUGGCGUUUGCAUCUUGCAAUGUGUACAUAGGUAUAUCAUGUCUUCUCUCUUGCAACGUGUGGUUUUGUGCAUGUUUCCCACUUGCAAUGUGUGAACUGUCUCGUCUAAUGCUGGUGUGUCUCCCUCUCUUACAGUGUGCAUUUGUGUUGCCAUCGUGCAGUGUGUCCAGCAUUUCUUGCAAUAUAUAUUUAUGUGUUUCCCCAAGAUGGUCAUUGGUGCCACCAGGAGAUACAGACGACACCAUCAGAGGAAUUGCUUGAGAGUUUUGGUUGCUUGAGAUCUGGUUAUCUGAGAAUCUCCUGUAGUUGGUGAAAUGCCUGGUAACUCAAAAUCAGCAGCCUGCCUCUUUGCAUGAAGGUAAACCUUGUCAAAUACAUUAGGAUACCAGCAGUGAAACAGCGAAGUACCUUAAGGAAACUGGAAGGAUUGUAUCACUUACAUUUUUUAAAUUAAAAAUUUUCCCAUUAUAUUGCCAUGUUCAACAUCCAGCAACCUGAUGGUAGGUUUAUUUUUUUUAUUUCUGCCAACUCCAAUGUUCUAGCCUCUGGGGCAUGUUCUAUUUAUUAAUUGUCCACUAUGUUUAUCCCUUCAGUUAUUGACAUUAAGGCACAUUAGGGCACAGUGUCAUAAGUAAUAUUAAUCAUCUCACUUGACAUGCACAUCAUCUUUGUGACAUAUUUCGGUCUGGCUUUAGCUUGGAUUUGGUUCUGAAACAGACUUGAUUAUUUUGGUAGACACCCUACACCAGGAUCAAAGCAGAAUUUGAUACAGGUUGAGUAUCCCUUACCUGAAGUGGUUGGACUAGAAGUAUUUCAUGGUUUGAAUAUUGCUGGUUUUGGAGUACUGGUAUUUGCAUAUGCAUAUCUCUUUGCAAUGGGACCAGUCUACACACAAAAUUCAUUUCAUAUAUCUCUUAUACAUAUGGCCUGAAUCUGAUUUUAAUAUAGUAAUUUUCAUACUUUUGUGCAUGAAACAAGGUGUAUGUACAUUGAAUCAUCAGAAAGCAAAGGUGUCAGUAUCUCAAUUACCCAUGUGGACAGAUUUAGAUUUGGGGCUAUUUCAGGUUUUUGAAUUCCAGAUAAAGGAUACUCAAUCUGUACAGUACUACCAAAUGUAACAUAAUUCUAGAGCAGCGAUUCUCAACCUGUGGGUCUCCAGAUGUUUUGGCCUUCAACUCCCAGGAAUCCUAACAUCUGGUAAACUGGAUGGGAUUUCUGGGAGUUGUAGGCCAAAACACCUGGGGACCCACAGGUUGAGAACCACUGUUCUUGAGAAUUUGGAAGGAAUGAGUCUUGGAGACAUUGCUCUACUGUAGUUUGGCUUCUUCCACUAAUUAGUUCUACAAAAUCUGACAGACGGAUCUUCAGUAUUAAUUUCUGCACCAGAAGUGCACAACUGUAUUCCUUCCUUAGCCUACAAAGCCUAUGAUUCCCAUCAGUCCUAGGUAGCAUAGUGGUGAGCAGUUAUGAGCAUCGAAGUUCAAAGUCAUCUGGAAAAAGAUAAUUGCACAUGUUUGUUUUAUAUAGAGUUGCUGGGAAGUGUCUGGGGGUUUACAAUAUGUUAUAAGUGAGAUGUAGAAGACAUGCAGCUCUGUUUCCUCUUUUUCACCCAGUGUCAAGGGAAAUUGUUAGGGUUCUGAAAGGACUGACUAAAGACUGAAUCUACACUGCCAUAUAAUGUAGUUUGGAACUGCAUUAUAUGGUCAGUGUAAACUCAUAUAAUGCAGUUCAAUGCAGUUAAAAUGGAUUAUAUAAGUCUACACUGAUAAUAUAAUGCAGUUCCAGCUAUAUUACAUGGCAUUGUAGAUCCAGCUUGAAAGGUGUUGCAACCAAAUACCAAGUUCUCCUGGUCAGGAGGAAGGUAAACCCUGGAAGAGGAAAUCUUUUCAGCAUGUUUUGGGUAAGAUGGUAUUCCCUUUUGAAUUAGGUUUGCACCAGAUUGCAGCUCUGGCCAGAAGUGUCUUUGCUUUGCAAAUCUGCUGCACGCCUUUAUGAAACCAUCAGGCCCAGGCAAAACAACAACUGCUUUAGUUAUAUCAAGACUUGUUGUUGCUGUUGUUGUGUUCCUUUAAGUUGUUUCUGACUUAUGACCCAGUGAUCACAGGGUUUUCUUGGCAUGUUUCAGUCACCUGUUUUCUGACUUUUUAGGAAUAUCGCCUACUUUAUGGCUUUUUAGAACAAUAUAAUAUAGGAGCCCCCAGUGGUGCAGUGUGUUAAACUGCUGAGCUGCUGAACUUGCUGACCGAAAGGUUGGUGGUUUGAAUCCGGGGAGCGGGUGAGCUCCCAAGGUUAGCCCCAGCUUCUACCAACCUUGCAGUUCGAAAACAUGCAAAUGUGAGUUGAUCAAUAGGUACCACUCCAGCGAGAAGGUAACAGCACUCCAUGUAGUCAUCUUGGCCCCAUGACCUUGGAGGUGACUACGGACAACGCCAGCUCUUCAGCUUAGACACUGAGAUGAGCACCAACCCUCAGAGUCAGACAUGACUGGACUUAAUGUCAGGGGGAAACCUUUACCUACCAAAGACUGAACUUGAGAAGGAGUGUGCUGUGGUUAAAGUAUUGGCUCAGGACCCUAGAAAAAUGUUUGAGGUCCCAACUUGGCCAUAGUUCCCCACGUGUCUUGUAAGUCAUUCACUGUGUUCCAAUCCAGUCUAUCUCACAAGGUUGUGAGGAUAAAAAUGAAGGCCAUGCUAUGAAUGUCACCUUAAAAGUCCUUCAGAGAGGCAGGUUGUAAAUUUAACAACUAAAUGAUAAAGGAACCUGGAUCAUCAUUGACCCCUAGGCCCUCCUGAAUAAUUUAAUCAGUAUUUGUUUCAAGACUCCUGGUGUUUUGUUGUUUUUAAACCUCCAAUAAUAAAAAGGUUGUUUGUGGCGGAUACGUGGGAGGCAGAUACAAGUGGAAAUGUAAUUACAUGGCAAUUAGAACUGUAAUCUCAUCAUUCUGCCCGUCUGGUGUAUGAAUCUACUUCAUCUAUUUGGGACCUGGUGUGCUUUCAUUUGUACUUAAUCAUGUCCCACUACAAGGGGUUGCAUAAUUGAUAUGAAACAGCAUCCUGGGACUUUUAAAAGAGGUGAGCACCACAGAGGUUUUGCAGAUUAUUUAUCAAAGAGACUUAGACAGGCAUAUCUAUUUAACACUUCACAAAGGAGCACCUACAGGGGAAAAACAAGUAUACAGUUGUGAUAAUUGUAGCUUCUUUUUAAGACACAAAUAAAUAUUGUAAUUUACAUAGCCAGCUACACUUA